ensembl:lncRNA
AUGUAACCAGUUGGAGGAGACGAGGCCAGAGGUACCUAUGUAGCCAGGUGGAGGAGACGAGGCCAGAGGUACCUAUGUAGCCAGGUGGAGGAGAGGAGGCCAGGUGGAGGAGACGAGGCCAGAGGUACCUAUGUAGCCAGGUGGAGGAGACGAGGCCAGAGGUACCUAUGUAGCCAGGUGGAGGAGAGGAGGCCAGAGGUACCUAUGUAACCAGGUGGAGGAGAGGAGGCUAUGAAGAGAGGAGGACCACAUGGCAUAGCUCCGGCCCUGCUGGGGCCCUGACAGCUGACCAGAUGGCAGAAGUAUUAGACCAACAAAGGCAAUCUAAUGAGGGGGACAAUGGAGGCCGGGCCAGGGAGGGGAGGGGGCGGUGUGCUGACAGCCACUGUGAUGGAGGGAUGGCGAGUGAAUGACAGAGACAGGCAGGCCUGAAACCCCAAAGAGUCAAUACACUUCCCAUCCCUCCCUCCCUCCCCUCCCUCCAACCCUCCCAUGUAUACAUCUCCUUCAUGGCCCCACCCCUCCCCCUGUGGCAGUAAUAUAGGGGGCUAUGACUUUAUUACCCCUCAUUAACACAAAUUAGACCACUUGAGCCCCCUGAAUGGAGAUGACAAAUUGAAUUAAGCGUUUGAAACAAGUCAGUCCCCACCCCGGCCAGCCUGCGACCAUAUUGCCUUAACAUUCAGGGGGGAAACCAUAAAAAC